rnacentral:misc_RNA from 1 species
GGAAGUAAAAUCGUAACAAGGUUUCCGUAGGUGAACCUGCGGAAGGAUCAUUAAAGUUAUAGUCCCCCGGCCCUCUGGGCUGGGGUCUUCUAUACCACCCUUUGUUUAUUACACCUUUGUUGCUUUGGCAGGCCUGCCCUCGGGCUGCUGGCUCCGGCCGGCUCGCGUCUGCCAGAGGACCUAAACUCUGUUUGUAUAUGAAGUCUGAGUACUAUAUAAUAGUUAAAACUUUCAACAACGGAUCUCUUGGUUCUG